GCCCCUCAUGACUCUUUGCACCUCAUAGACUUCAGGUUAUUGAUGGCUGCACCUCAUCUCCCUGUGAACUGGAACUGUCUGAAGGAAAGAAUGGGUCAUGCUUGCCUCUGAUACUCCAGGAUUCCUUGCAGUGUGGUCACUAGGUGCUGGACAUGCCCUCCUUGGAUAAGUCAUACCUGGCUCAGCCACAACCAUCAGAGUUUAUCAUCAGUCACCUGCCUCAAAGCAAUGGAAACAUAGCGCUUUGGGAUAAUCGUGACCAGCAGGAUCUCAUCAAUCAGAACAUAUUGGAGAUUGUAACCAGUGCAUAGAGGGUGUGGAUUACACCAGUGCUCCCAACAAUUUCUCUUCUUGCUACCCAUGUGGAUUUUGUAAAUCAGGUACAAAAUGUGUAGACCCCUUGCCCAGAGGUGGAGGCCAAAGUGAUGAGGUGGGAGUCGUAGCUGAUGUGAGUCAGGGAACCAAGUUCCAGUCCAACUUGGUCUUCAUCAUACCCUGUUCCAUGAUUAUGUCUUAGGUCAAUCAAAUAAAAUAGAAAGAGAUCAUUUUUAUAAUGUCUGG
rnacentral:lncRNA from 13 species